rnacentral:rRNA from 1 species
AUUGAACGCUGGCGGCAUGCCUUACACAUGCAAGUCGAACGGCAGCACGGGAGCAAUCCUGGUGGCGAGUGGCGAACGGGUGAGUAAUAUAUCGGAACGUGCCCAGUCGUGGGGGAUAACGUAGCGAAAGCUACGCUAAUACCGCAUACGAUCUACGGAUGAAAGCGGGGGAUCGCAAGACCUCGCGCGAUUGGAGCGGCCGAUAUCAGAUUAGCUAGUUGGUGGGGUAAAGGCCCACCAAGGCGACGAUCUGUAGCUGGUCUGAGAGGACGACCAGCCACACUGGAACUGAGACACGGUCCAGACUCCUACGGGAGGCAGCAGUGGGUAAUUUUGGACAAUGGGCGCAAGCCUGAUCCAGCAAUGCCGCGUGCAGGAUGAAGGCCUUCGGGUUGUAAACUGCUUUUGUACGGAACGAAACGGCUCUUUCUAAUAAAGAGGGCUAAUGACGGUACCGUAAGAAUAAGCACCGGCUAACUACGUGCCAGCCGCCGCAGUAACAC